AGUGAACGCUGGCGGUAGGCCUAACACAUGCAAGUCGAACGGCAGCACAGUAAGAGCUUGCUCUUACGGGUGGCGAGUGGCGGACGGGUGAGGAAUACAUCGGAAUCUACUUUUUCGUGGGGGAUAACGUAGGGAAACUUACGCUAAUACCGCAUACGAUCUACGGGUGAAAGCAGGGGAUCUUCGGACCUUGCGCGAUUGAUUGAGCUGAUGUCGGAUUAGCUAGUUGGCGGGGUAAAGGCCCACCAAGGCGACGAUCCGUAGCUGGUCUGAGAGGAUGAUCAGCCACACUGGAACUGAGACACGGUCCAGACUCCUACGGGAGGCAGCAGUGGGGAAUAUUGGACAAUGGGCGCAAGCCUGAUCCAGCCAUACCGCGUGAGUGAAGAAGGCCUUCGGGUUGUAAAGCCCUUUUAUUGGGAAAGAAAAGCAGCAGGUUAAUACCCCGCUGUUCUGACGGUACCCAAAGAAUAAGCACCGGCUAACUUCGUG
rnacentral:rRNA from 1 species